rnacentral:rRNA from 1 species
AACCAGACUCCUACGGGAGGCAGCAGUGGGGAAUAUUGCACAAUGGGGGAAACCCCGAUGCAGCGACGCCGCGUGAAGGAUGAAGUAUUUCGGUAUGUAAACUUCUAUCAGCAGGGAAGAAAAUGACGGUACCUGACUAAGAAGCCCCGGCUAACUACGUGCCAGCAGCCGCGGUAAUACGUAGGGGGCAAGCGUUAUCCGGAUUUACUGGGUGUAAAGGGAGCGUAGACGGCGAUGCAAGUCUGAAGUGAAAGGCGGGGGCCCAACCCCCGGACUGCUUUGGAAACUGUAUAGCUGGAGUGCAGGAGAGGUAAGUGGAAUUCCUAGUGUAGCGGUGAAAUGCGUAGAUAUUAGGAGGAACACCAGUGGCGAAGGCGGCUUACUGGACUGUAACUGACGUUGAGGCUCGAAAGCGUGGGGAGCAAACAGGAUUAGAUACCCCGGUAA